UUUCUCUUCAGUUUGUAUAAAUUUUUCGCCUUUUACUAAAGAUUUCCGUGGAGAGGAA
rnacentral:snRNA from 1 species